rnacentral:rRNA from 1 species
GGCACGCAAGUGUCGACGAUGCAUCAUAUAAAUUUCUGCCCUAUCAACUUUGGAUGGUAGGAUAGAGGCCUACCAUGGUGGCAACGGGUAACGGAGGAUGAGUGUUCGAUCCCGGAGAGGGAGCCUGAGAAAUGGCUACCACAUCCAAGGAAGGCAGCAGGCGCGAAAAUUCCACCCUUGCGACACGCAGAUGGAGUGACAAGAAAUAACGGAUCCGGGCCCAACGGGCGACGGAGAUUGGAAUGAGAGGAAUGUAAACAGUUUACACGAAAGCAACUGGAGGGCAAGUCUGGUGCCAGCAGCCGCGGUAAUUCCAGCUCCAGUAGCGUAUACUAAAGUUGCUGCGGUUAAAAAGCUCGUAGUUUGAGGUCGAGCGGGGAGUUACGGAGGGUUACUCUGCGAAGAAGCGGGGGAAGCCACCAACGGACCCGUUCUCAGAGUCGCGAGAGAGGGGCUGACGAUUACGAUUGUUGGUUUUGAAAGCGUGACGACAUACCCUGAGGAAAAUAGAGUGUUCAAAGCAAGCGAAGGGGGUCUAUCUGUAAGAGGGUAGGUUUCUGAAGCAGUGAAUAAGUUAGCAUGGAAUAAAAGAAGAAGCCUUUUGUCCGGCGCAAAUAAGGGUGGACUAUAGACGAUAGCCACGCUGCAGAGCUUCUUCGACCAGAAAGGGUUGGAAUCGGGCAAGAGGAAUGAUUAAUAGGGACAGAUGGGGGCAUUAGUAUUUCGUAGUCAGAGGUGAAAUUCAAGGAUUUACGAAAGACUAACAAGUGCGAAAGCAUUUGCCAAGGAUGUUUUCAUUAAUCAAGAACGAAAGUUUGGGGAUCGAAGACGAUCAGAUACCGUCGUAGUCCAAACCAUAAACGAUGCCGACUCGGGAUUGGGACGAGCACAAGAAGCCAGAUCUACGGGUUUGGUGAAAGGCCGUGCCAGGACCGUGAGGAGAAAUCAUAAGUUAAUGGGUUCCGGGGGGAGUAUGGUCGCAAGGCUGAAACUUAAAGGAAUUGACGGAAGGGCACAACCAGGAGUGGAGCUUGCGGCUUAAUUCAACCCAACACGGGGAAACUUACCAGGGCCAGACACGGGAAGGAUUGACAGAUUGAGAGCUCUUUCUUGAUUCCGUGAGUGGUGGUGCAUGGCCGUUCUUAGUUGGUGGAGUGAUUUGUCUGCUUAAUUGCGAUAACGAACGAGACCUUAGCCUCUAACUAGUGCGAUAAGGGUACUGCGUUAGG